rnacentral:rRNA from 1 species
CGCCCUUAGAGUUUGAUCCUGGCUCAGGAUGAACGCUGGCGGCGUGCCUAAUACAUGCAAGUCGAGCGAACCACUUCGGUGGUGAGCGGCGAACGGGUGAGUAACACGUAGGUGAUCUGCCCAUCAGACGGGGACAACGAUUGGAAACGAUCGCUAAUACCGGAUAGGACGAAAGUUUAAAGGUGCUUCUGGCACCGCUGAUGGAUGAGCCUGCGGCGCAUUAGCUAGUUGGUAGGGUAAAGGCCUACCAAGGCGACGAUGCGUAGCCGACCUGAGAGGGUGAACGGCCACACUGGGACUGAGACACGGCCCAGACUCCUACGGGAGGCAGCAGUAGGGAAUCUUCGGCAAUGGGCGAAAGCCUGACCGAGCAACGCCGCGUGAAUGAUGAAGGCCUUCGGGUUGUAAAAUUCUGUUAUAAGGGAAGAACGACUUUAGUAGGAAAUGGCUAGAGUGUGACGGUACCUUAUGAGAAAGCCACGGCUAACUACGUGCCAGCAGCCGCGGUAAUACGUAGGUGGCGAGCGUUAUCCGGAAUUAUUGGGCGUAAAGAGCGCGCAGGUGGUUGAUUAAGUCUGAUGUGAAAGCCCACGGCUUAACCGUGGAGGGUCAUUGGAAACUGGUCGACUUGAGUGCAGAAGAGGGAAGUGGAAUUCCAUGUGUAGCGGUGAAAUGCGUAGAGAUAUGGAGGAACACCAGUGGCGAAGGCGGCUUCCUGGUCUGUAACUGACACUGAGGCGCGAAAGCGUGGGGAGCAAACAGGAUUAGAUACCCUGGUAGUCCACGCCGUAAACGAUGAGUGCUAAGUGUUGGGGGUCGAACCUCAGUGCUGAAGUUAACGCAUUAAGCACUCCGCCUGGGGAGUACGGUCGCAAGACUGAAACUCAAAGGAAUUGACG